rnacentral:rRNA from 1 species
GUGGGGAAUUUUGGACAAUGGGCGCAAGCCUGAUCCAGCCAUGCCGCGUGCGGGAAGAAGGCCUUCGGGUUGUAAACCGCUUUUGUCAGGGAAGAAAAGGUUCUGGUUAAUACCUGGGACUCAUGACGGUACCUGAAGAAUAAGCACCGGCUAACUACGUGCCAGCAGCCGCGGUAAUACGUAGGGUGCAAGCGUUAAUCGGAAUUACUGGGCGUAAAGCGUGCGCAGGCGGUUAUGCAAGACAGAGGUGAAAUCCCCGGGCUCAACCUGGGAACUGCCUUUGUGACUGCAUAGCUAGAGUACGGUAGAGGGGGAUGGAAUUCCGCGUGUAGCAGUGAAAUGCGUAGAUAUGCGGAGGAACACCGAUGGCGAAGGCAAUCCCCUGGACCUGUACUGACGCUCAUGCACGAAAGCGUGGGGAGCAAAC